AUUGAACGCUGGCGGCAGGCCUAACACAUGCAAGUCGAACGAGUGGCGGACGGGUGAGUAAUGUCUGGGAAACUGCCCGAUGGAGGGGGAUAACUACUGGAAACGGUAGCUAAUACCGCAUACCAUCGGAUGUGCCCAGAUGGGAUUAGCGUGUAGGUGAGGUAACGGCUCACCUAGGCGACGAUCCCUAGCUGGUCUGAGAGAAUGACCAGCCACACUGUAACUUAAACACAAUCCACACUCCUACGGUAGGCAGCAGUGGGGAAUAGUGCACAAGGGGCGCAAGUCUGAUGCAGCCAUGCCGCGUGGAUGAAGAAGGCCUUCGGGUUGUAAAGUACUUUCAGCGGGGAGGCGUUACCCGCAGAAGAAGCACCGGCUAACUCCGUGCCAGCAGCCGCGGUAAUAC
rnacentral:rRNA from 1 species